UACGUAGGGUGCGAGCGUUAAUCGGAAUUACUGGGCGUAAAGCGUGCGCAGGCGGUUUUGUAAGUCAGAUGUGAAAUCCCCGAGCUCAACUUGGGAACUGCGUUUGAAACUACAAGACUAGAGUAGGUCAGAGGGGGGUAGAAUUCCACGUGUAGCAGUGAAAUGCGUAGAGAUGUGGAGGAAUACCAAUGGCGAAGGCAGCCCCCUGGGAUCAUACUGACGCUCAUGCACGAAAGCGUGGGGAGCAAACAGGAUUAGAUACCCUGGUAGUCCACGCCCUAAACGAUGUCAACUAGUUGUUGGUAGAGUAAAAUCUAUGAGUAACGCAGCUAACGCGUGAAGUUGACCGCCUGGGGAGUACGAUCGCAAGAUUA
rnacentral:rRNA from 1 species